AUCCUGUCUGAAUAUGGGGGGACCAUCCUCCAAGGCUAAAUACUACUGACUGACCGAUAGUGAACCAGUACCGUGAGGGAAAGGCGAAAAGAACCCCUGUGAGGGGAGUGAAAUAGAACCUGAAACCGUGUACGUACAAGCAGUAGGAGCAGGCUUGUCCUGUGACUGCGUACCUUUUGUAUAAUGGGUCAGCGACUUAUAUUCAGUGGCAAGGUUAACCAUCUAGGGGAGCCGUAGGGAAACCGAGUCUUAACUGGGCGUUCAGUCUCUGGAUAUAGACCCGAAACCAGGUGAUCUAGCCAUGGGCAGGUUGAAGGUUGAGUAACAUCAACUGGAGGACCGAACCGACUAAUGUUGAAAAAUUAGCGGAUGACUUGUGGCUAGGGGUGAAAGGCCAAUCAAACCUGGAGAUAGCUGGUUCUCCCCGAAAGCUAUUUAGGUAGCGCCUCGGACGAAUACUACUGGGGGUAGAGCACUGUUAAGGCUAGGGGGUCAUCCCGACUUACCAACCCUUUGCAAACUCCGAAUACCAGUAAGUACUAUCCGGGAGACACACGGCGGGUGCUAACGUCCGUCGUGGAGAGGGAAACAACCCAGACCGCCAGCUAAGGUCCCAAAUUACUACUAAGUGGGAAACGAUGUGGGAAGGCUCAGACAGCCAGGAUGUUGGCUUAGAAGCAGCCAUCAUUUAAAGAAAGCGUAAUAGCUCACUGGUCGAGUCGGCCUGCGCGGAAGAUGUAACGGGGCUAAGUAGUAAACCGAAGCUGCGGCAAUAUACUUUUGUAUAUUGGGUAGGGGAGCGUUCUGUAAGCGGUUGAAGGUGUGUGGUAACGCAUGCUGGACGUAUCAGAAGUGCGAAUGCUGACAUGAGUAACGAUAAAGGGGGUGAAAAACCUCCUCGCCGGAAGACCAAGGGUUCCUGUCCAACGUUAAUCGGGGCAGGGUAAGUCGACCCCUAAGGCGAGGCCGAAAGGCGUAGUCGAUGGGAAACGGGUUAAUAUUCCCGUACUUCUUACAAUUGCGAUGGGGGGACGGAGAAGGCUAGGUGGGCCUGGCGACGGUUGUCCAGGUUCAAGUGCGUAGGCUGAGAGAUUAGGUAAAUCCGGUUUCUCUUAAGGCUGAGACACGACGUCGAGCACCUACGGGUGUGAAGUCAUUGAUGCCAUGCUUCCAGGAAAAGCCUCUAAGCUUCAGAUUGUAAGGAAUCGUACCCCAAACCGACACAGGUGGUCGGGUAGAGAAUACCAAGGCGCUUGAGAGAACUCGGGUGAAGGAACUAGGCAAAAUGGUACCGUAACUUCGGGAGAAGGUAC
rnacentral:rRNA from 1 species